AUUGAACGCUGGCGGCAGGCCUAACACAUGCAAGUCGAGCGGAGGAAGGGAGCUUGCUCCUGGAUUCAGCGGCGGACGGGUGAGUAAUGCCUAGGAAUCUGCCUGGUAGUGGGGGAUAACGUCCGGAAACGGGCGCUAAUACCGCAUACGUCCUGAGGGAGAAAGUGGGGGAUCUUCGGACCUCACGCUAUCAGAUGAGCCUAGGUCGGAUUAGCUAGUUGGUGGGGUAAAGGCCUACCAAGGCGACGAUCCGUAACUGGUCUGAGAGGAUGAUCAGUCAAACUGGAACUGAGACACGGUCCAGACUCCUACGGGAGGCAGCAGUGGGGAAUAUUGGACAAUGGGCGAAAGCCUGAUCCAGCCAUGCCGCGUGUGUGAAGAAGGUCUUCGGAUUGUAAAGCACUUUAAGUUGGGAGGAAGGGCAGUAAGUUAAUACCUUGCUGUUUUGACGUUACCAACAGAAUAAGCACCGGCUAACUUCGUG
rnacentral:rRNA from 1 species